rnacentral:rRNA from 1 species
GACGAACGCUGGCGGCGUGCCUAACACAUGCAAGUCGAGCGGGAUCCAUCCAGUGGCAACACUGGGGAAGAUCUAGCGGCGAACGGGUGAGUAACACGUGAGAAACUUGCCCCGGAGUUCGGGAUAACCCGAGGAAACUCGAGCUAAUACCGAAUGCCCUCUUCAGAUCGCAUGGUCAGAAGAGGAAAGAUUUAUCGCUCCGGGGAGAGUCUCGCGGCCUAUCAGCUAGUUGGCGGGGUAACGGCCCACCAAGGCAUCGACGGGUAGCUGGUCUGAGAGGACGAUCAGCCACACUGGGACUGAGACACGGCCCAGACUCCUACGGGUGGCAG